rnacentral:rRNA from 1 species
UACGGAGGAUGCGAGCGUUGUUCGGAAUCACUGGGCGUAAAGCGCGUGUAGGCGGCCCACUAAGUCUGAUGUGAAAGCCCGGGGCUCACCCCCGGAAGUGCAUUGGAAACUGGUGGACUCGAGUCCCGGAGAGGAGAGUGGAAUUCCUGGUGUAGCGGUGAAAUGCGUAGAUAUCAGGAGGAACACCGGUGGCGAAGGCGGCUCUCUGGACGGUGACUGACGCUGAGACGCGAAAGCGUGGGGAGCAAACAGG